UACGUAGGGGGCUAGCGUUGUCCGGAAUCAUUGGGCGUAAAGAGCGUGUAGGCGGUCCGGUAAGUCCGCUGUGAAAGUCGGGGGCUCAACCCUCGAAUGCCGGUGGAUACUGUCGGGCUAGAGUGCGGAAGAGGCGAGUGGAAUUCCUGGUGUAGCGGUGGAAUGCGCAGAUAUCAGGAAGAACACCAACGGCGAAGGCAGCUCGCUGGGACGGAACUGACGCUGAGGGGCGAAAGCGUGGGGAGCGAACAGG
rnacentral:rRNA from 1 species